rnacentral:rRNA from 1 species
AGUGAACGCUGGCGGUAGGCCUAACACAUGCAAGUCGAACGGCAGCACAGUAAGAGCUUGCUCUUACGGGUGGCGAGUGGCGGACGGGUGAGGAAUACAUCAGAAUCUACUUUUUCGUGGGGGAUAACGUAGGGAAACUUACGCUAAUACCGCAUACGACCUACGGGUGAAAGCAGGGGAUCUUCGGACCUUGCGCGAUUGAAUGAGCCGAUGUCGGAUUAGCUAGUUGGCGGGGUAAAGGCCCACCAAGGCGACGAUCCGUAGCUGGUCUGAGAGGAUGAUCAGCCACACUGGAACUGAGACACGGUCCAGACUCCUACGGGAGGCAGCAGUGGGGAAUAUUGGACAAUGGGCGCGAGCCUGAUCCAGCCAUACCGCGUGGGUGAAGAAGGCCUUCGGGUUGUAAAGCCCUUUUGUUGGGAAAGAAAAGCAGCAGGUUAAUACCCCGCUGUUCUGACGGUACCCAAAGAAUAAGCACCGGCUAACUUCGUG